rnacentral:rRNA from 1 species
GAUGAACGCUGGCGGCGUGCCUAAUACAUGCAAGUCGAGCGAACAGACGAGGAGCUUGCUCCUCUGACGUUAGCGGCGGACGGGUGAGUAACACGUGGAUAACCUACCUAUAAGACUGGGAUAACUUCGGGAAACCGGAGCUAAUACCGGAUAAUAUAUUGAACCGCAUGGUUCAAUAGUGAAAGACGGUUUUGCUGUCACUUAUAGAUGGAUCCGCGCCGCAUUAGCUAGUUGGUAAGGUAACGGCUUACCAAGGCAACGAUGCGUAGCCGACCUGAGAGGGUGAUCGGCCACACUGGAACUGAGACAAGGUCCAGACUCCUACGGGAGGCAGCAGUAGGGAAUAUUCCGCAAUGGGCGAAAGCCUGACGGAGCAACGCCGCGUGAGUGAUGAAGGUCAUCGGAUCGUAAAACUCUGUUAUUAGGGAAGAACAAAUGUGUAAGUAACUAUGCAAGUCUUGACGGUACAUAAUCAGAAAGCCACGGCUAACUACGUG